UGGGGAAUAUUGCACAAUGGGCGGAAGCCUGAUGCAGCAACGCCGCGUGCGGGAUGACGGCCUUCGGGUUGUAAACCGCUUUCGCCUGUGACGAAGCGUGAGUGACGGUAAUGGGUAAAGAAGCACCGGCUAACUACGUGCCAGCAGCCGCGGUGAUACGUAGGGUGCGAGCGUUGUCCGGAUUUAUUGGGCGUAAAGGGCUCGUAGGUGGUUGAUCGCGUCGGAAGUGUAAUCUUGGGGCUUAACCCUGAGCGUGCUUUCGAUACGGGUUGACUUGAGGAAGGUAGGGGAGAAUGGAAUUCCUGGUGGAGCGGUGGAAUGCGCAGAUAUCAGGAGGAACACCAGUGGCGAARGCGGUUCUCUGGGCCUUUCCUGACGCUGAGGAGCGAAAGCGUGGGGAGCGAACAGGCUUAGAUACCCUGGUAGUCCACGCUGUAAACGGUGGGUACUAGGUGYGGGGUCCAUUCCACGGGUUCCGUGCCGUAGCUAACGCUUUAAGUACCCCGCCUGGGGAGUACGGCCGCAAGGCUAA
rnacentral:rRNA from 1 species